GGGCUGCUGAAUAUCUUCUGAAGAGUACUUCUUUCUACCAAAACAAAGGAGAAAAGUUAGCCAAAAGGUACACAGGUGGAGAUAAUAUGAUCUAAUCCACUCAGUCCAACAAUUGUUCAUCAACACUGACCACAUCUAGCAAUGACAGUGUAGUUCAAUCUCCAUCUACCAGGAUGUCAAUCAAUGACAAUUACAACGAUAAAUGUUCUCGUGUGGACUUCUGUCCACUAAAGGAAAGCUUCAUGGAACUGUUAAUGAUGAGAAAAGUGGAUGAUGGAACAUCUCUAGGUGUACUAAGCAAAGAAUUAUGUGAAAAGUAAGAACCUGAUGCACCAAAAUACCCCACUCUGCUGACAGGCAGAAGCUUUAUGCACGUUCUGGACUCCAUAGUGGUGAUGACUACUUCAUCUGCACAAGUGACACAAGAUGACACUGAGGAAAAAUAUUUCCUUUUCUAUGGUAGUAAACUGUAAAAGUAAGUACAGUGCAUCAUUUUCUUUCCCUGAUUCCUCAGUGCCCACCUUGCCAGAUAUUCUUUAAAAAGUAUUUGGGCAUCCCUGCUCAAGAAACCAACACUUUACUGUAACAUUAUUGUUAACUAUUUUAUGUUAUUCAAUCUUCUUUUUAAUAAAGGCCAAUGAAAAAUUUAUACUGAUACAAAUAUGAAAGUUUCCUGAAUUCAGAAAGUUUCCAUACUUCUGGAUAAUGAGGCUAGAGGGAUGGAUAGGAUAGAAAAUCAUCACUGAAACUAUGUCUAUACUGCAGAGUUUUUUCGGAAAAAUG